UACGUAGGGUGCAAGCGUUGUCCGGAAUUAUUGGGCGUAAAGAGCUCGUAGGCGGCUUGUCGCGUCGGCUGUGAAAACCUGGGGCUCAACCCCGGGCCUGCAGCCGAUACGGGCAAGCUAGAAUUCGGUAGGGGAGACUGGAAUUCCUGGUGUAGCGGUGAAAUGCGCAGAUAUCAGGAGGAACACCAGUGGCGAAGGCGACACGCUGGGCCGUACCUGACACUGAACCGCGACAGCAUGGGGAGCAAACAGG
rnacentral:rRNA from 1 species